GACGAACGCUGGCGGCGUGCCUCAUACAUGCAAGUCGAGCGGACUGACUUCGGUCAGUCAGCGGCGGACGGGUGAGUAACGCGUGGGUAACCUGCCCUAAAGUCUGGGAUAACAUCCUGAAAGGGAUGCUAAUACCGCAUAGGUUUCUUGGUCGCAUGAUCGAGAAAGGAAGACGGCCUUUGUGCUGUCGCUUUAUGGAUGGACCCGNGGCGUAUUAGUUAGUUAGAAGGUGAUGGCUCACCAAGACGAUGAUACGUAGCCGACCUGAGAGGGUGAUCGG
rnacentral:rRNA from 1 species